rnacentral:rRNA from 1 species
GAAUAUUGGACAAUGGGGGGAACCCUGAUCCAGCCAUGCCGCGUGUGUGAAGAAGGCCUUUUGGUUGUCAAGCACUUUAAGCGCGGAGGCGGAGACCUUGGUUAUUAGCCAAGAUGCGUGAACGUUACACGCAGAAUGAGCACCGGCUAACUCGGUGCCAGCAGCCGCGGUAAUACAGAGGGUGCAAGCGUUAAUCGGAUUUACUGGGCGUAAAGCGCGCGUAGGUGGCCAAUUAAGUCAAAUGUGAGAUCCCCGAGCUUAACUUGGGAAUUGCAUUCGAUACUGGUUGGCUAGAGUAUGGGAGAGGAUGGUAGAAUUCCAGGUGUAGCGGUGAAAUGCGUAGAGAUCUGGAGGAAUACCGAUGGCGAAGGCAGCCAUCUGGCCUAAUACUGACACUGAGGUGCGAAAGCAUGGGGAGCAAACA